GGGGACGACUGGUUUUGACAGCAAGGUCAGUGAAAUUGUAAGCAUACCAAGGAAUGAAAUUAUUCUUGUAAAACUUAUUUCAAACCUAUAAACGGCGAAGAUAACUACGCUUUAGCUGCUUAAUCCGAAAUCAAGUAAGAUUAGCCUCGGCUCACAAGGUGAGCAAGCUUUAUGUCCACGAAAAGCCUUGGUUUGCGGCGUUUCUUUUUUGGGCAUCGUAAAAGUAAACAUAGAAAACUUGGCGCUUUGACGGGUUUUCGAAACUAAAAAAGCUAAGUGAAAAGUAGGUUGUUUUUGACCAGCUUUUCAACGAAAAAACAAACAAAAACUAAGUAUGUAGAAAGCUUUUUAGCUGCUUGUUUGGACCCGAGUUCGAUUCUCGGCGUCUCCACAA
rfam:OM182 bacterium BACL3 MAG-120619-bin32 contig06519_1_120619-bin32, whole genome shotgun sequence.